rnacentral:rRNA from 1 species
AUUGAAUGCUGGCGGCAGGCUUAACACAUGCAAGUCGAGCGGAGAUGAGGUGCUUGCACCUUAUCUUAGCGGCGGACGGGUGAGUAAUGCUUAGGAAUCUGCCUAUUAGUGGGGGACAACAUUCCGACAGGAAUGCUAAUACCGCAUACGCCCUACGGGGGAAAGCAGGGGAUCUUCGGACCUUGCGCUAAUAGAUGAGCCUAAGUCGGAUUAGCUAGUUGGUGGGGUAAAGGCCUACCAAGGCGACGAUCUGUAGCGGGUCUGAGAGGAUGAUCCGCCACACUGGGACUGAGACACGGCCCAGACUCCUACGGGAGGCAGCAGUGGGGUAUAUUGGACAAUGGGCGGAAGCCUGAUCCAGCCAUGCCGCGUGUGUGAAGAAGGCCUUUUGGUUGUAAAGCACUUUAAGCGAGGAGGAGGCUACCUGGAUUAAUACUCUAGGAUAGUGGACGUUACUCGCAGAAUAAGCACCGGCUAACUCUGUGCCAGCCGCCGCCGUAAAAC